ensembl:lncRNA
GGACAAGGUGACAGUAGGAUGGGAGGCUUGGGAGGGACACAGGGACGAGGUGAUGGGAUGGGAGGCUUGGGAGGGACACAGGGACGAGGUGUUGGGAUGGGAGGCUUGGGAGGGACACAGGGACGAGGUGAUGGGAUGGGAGGCUUGGGAGGGACACAGGGACAAGGUGAUGGGAUGGGAGGCUUGGGAAGGACACAGGGAUGAGGUGAUGGGAUGGGAGGCUUGGGAGGGACACAGGGACGAGGGGAUGGGAUGGGAGGCUUGGGAAGGACACAGGGAUGAGGUGACAGUAGGAUGGGAGGCUUGGGAGGGACGAGGUGACAGUAGGAUGGGAGGCUUGGGAAGGACACAGGGAUGAGGUGAUGGGAUGGGAGGCUUGGGAAGGACACAGGGAUGAGGU